AUGACCAUGCUUCCUGACACCUGCUCAGUCCUUGUGUUCCUUCUAAUGCUCAGGGGAAGCCAUGGAGACUCAGUGACCCAGACUGAAGACCUGGUCACUCUCACAGAGGGGUUGCCUGUAGUGCUAAACUGCACCUAUCAGAGUACCUAUUCAGGUGCUUUCCUCUUCUGGUAUGUGCAACAUCUCAACAGAGCCCCUCAGCUUCUCCUGAAGAGCUCCACAGACAACAAGAGGACAGAGCACCAAGGCUUCCAUGCCACUCUCCACAAGAGCAGCAGCUCCUUCCACCUGCAGAAGUCCUCAGUGCAGCUGGAGGACUCUGCCCAGUACUACUGUGCUCUGGGUGACACAGUGAGGGGAGCUGUAGGGGAGGCUGAACACAAACCAACGGUUCAGGAGGGCUGA